rnacentral:rRNA from 1 species
UACAGGGGGGGCAAGCGUUGUUCGGAAUUACUGGGCGUAAAGGGCCAGUAGGCGGCCAACUAAGUCACACGUGAAAUCCCCAGGCUUAACCUGGGAACUGCGUGUGAUACUGGAUGGCUUGAAUUCGGGAGAGGGAUGCAGAAUUCCAGGUGUAGCGGUGAAAUGCGUAGAUAUCUGGAGGAAUACCGGUGGCGAAGGCGGCUUCCUGGACCGACAUUGACGCUGAACGGCGAAAGCUAGGGGAGCAAACGGG